rnacentral:rRNA from 1 species
CCUGUCUUAUGGAGGGGGAUAACAGAGAGAAAUCACUGCUAAUACCGCAUAAGCACAAAUUGCCGCAUGGCAGAGUGUGAAAAGAUUUAUCGCCAUAAGAUGGACCCGCGUCUGAUUAUCCAUUUGGCAGGGUAAAAGCCUACCAAAGCAACGAUCAGUAGCCGAUCUGAGAGGAUGACCGGCCACAUUGGGACUGAGACACGGCCCAAACUCCUACGGGAGGCAGCAGUGGGGAAUAUUGCACAAUGGGGGAAACCCUGAUGCAGCGACGCCGCGUGAGUGAAGAAGUAUUUCGGUAUGUAAAGCUCUAUCAGCAGGGAAGAUAAUGACAGUACCUGACUAAGAAGCCCCGGCUAACUACGUGCCAGCAGCCGCGGUAAUACGUAGGGGGCAAGCGUUAUCCGGAUUUACUGGGUGUAAAGGGAGCGUAGACGGAAUGGCAAGUCUGAAGUGAAAACCCCGGGCUCAACCUGGGGACUGCUUUGGAAACUGUUGUUCUAGAGUGUUGGAGAGGUAAGUGGAAUUCCUGGUGUAGCGGUGAAAUGCGUAGAUAUCAGGAAGAACACCGGAGGCGAAGGCGGCUUACUGGACAAUAACUGACGUUGAGGCUCGAAAGCGUGGGGAUCAAACAGGAUUAGAU